GCACUGGACUUUGAAUUUGCUUGUGUAGGAUAGGUGGGAGACUUUGAAGCGUUGUCGCUAGAUAGCGUGGAGUCAACCUUGAAAUACCACCCUGAUAACUUUGAGGUUCUAACUUAGGUCCCUAAUCGGGAUUGAGGACAUUGUGUUGUGUAGGAUAGGUGGGAGGCUUUGAAGCUGGUGGGUAGUUUGACUGGGGCGGUCUCCUCCCAAAGAGUAACGGAGGAGCACGAAGGUACCCUAAGGACGGUCGGAAAUCGUCCGCUUAGUGUAAUGGCACAAGGGUGCUUGACUGCGAGAGUGACAACUCGAGCAGGUGCGAAAGCAGGUCAAAGUGAUCCGGUGGUUCUGUAUGGAAGGGCCAUCGCUCAACGGAUAAAAGGUACUCUGGGGAUAACAGGCUGAUACCGCCCAAGAGUUCACAUCGACGGCGGUGUUUGGCACCUCGAUGUCGGCUCAUCACAUCCUGGGGCUGAAGCCGGUCCCAAGGGUAUGGCUGUUCGCCAUUUAAAGUGGUACGCGAGCUGGGUUUAGAACGUCGUGAGACAGUUCGGUCCCUAUCUACCGUGGGCGUUGGAAAUUUGAGAGGAUCUGCUCCUAGUACGAGAGGACCAGAGUGGACGAACCUCUGGUGUACCGGUUGUGACGCCAGUCGCAUCGCCGGGUAGCUAUGUUCGGAAGGGAUAACCGCUGAAAGCAUCUAAGCGGGAAGCCUCCUUCGAGACGAGAUCUCCCUUAGGACUUGAUCCUACUAAAGUGCCGUUCAAGACUAGGACGUUGAUAGGCUGGGUGUGUAAGUGCAGCGAUGCAUUGAGCUAACCAGUACUAAUUGCACGUGAGGCUUG
rnacentral:rRNA from 1 species